UGGGGACUCGUCUAAUGGUAGGACGGCUGAUUCUGGCUCAGCUAGUAAGGGUUCGAAUCCUUUGUCCCCAGCUA
rnacentral:tRNA from 1 species